rnacentral:rRNA from 1 species
UACGUAUGGUGCAAGCGUUAUCCGGAUUUACUGGGUGUAAAGGGAGCGUAGACGGAGUGGCAAGUCUGAUGUGAAAACCCGGGGCUCAACCCCGGGACUGCAUUGGAAACUGUCAAUCUAGAGUACCGGAGAGGUAAGCGGAAUUCCUAGUGUAGCGGUGAAAUGCGUAGAUAUUAGGAGGAACACCAGUGGCGAAGGCGGCUUGCUGGACGGUAACUGACGUUGAGGCUCGAAAGCGUGGGGAGCAAACAGG